CUUGUCAGCUACAUUUAUGAUGUGCUCAUAAUUAAAUGUCCGCCAAGCUCGCAGCGCGCUGACCACAGAGGGGCCAUAAGCAGUGAGAUAAAUGAGACCGGGAGAUGUAAUAUUGCUUCACUCGUGGGCUUCGGCUGAUGUUAAAGAUUGUCAGUGAUAAUUAUUAAUAUGUGACCUGGUUGAGUCUUUACGUGAACAAUCACAAUUUUAAUAAAGUGGUAAACUCCGCGCUCAGCCCGUGCGCAUGUUCUGCAUCAGACACCCUCACUUUAUGCGUGUGGAUUUUAGAACAGCCCUGCUUUCCUCUGUGUUGCAGGUGGUGUGAUAACCCAUUAGUGGAAACUUCCGCCCAAAUACAAAUAGAUGCAAAGUCCGGCAACGACAAAGUGUGCCCUCUUCCAUGCCCUCACGUGCUGCAUGAGGAGAGGAUGGGCACAGGCAGCGGGUGAGGAGUAGGCCCAGCUUUUGCUAACCGCAGGUGCAGCUGCUUCUUUCUGCCUAGCCAGGAGGGAGCACCUGGGGAUGCCUACUGCUUGUGCUGGUGUUGGUGUAACUGACACCACUGGUGUCCUAUCCAGAACCCUCCUCUCUUUUUACCAGCUUCUGUGUACUCUGCCCUUAGCAAUCCCACAUGCCAGCUUUCUCAGAAGGCUGCCUUUUUGGCUCUGGAAACUUUUGACCUGAGUGGGGAACUGGAACUACCUGGGGGAAUUCUAUCUUUCUCCUAGGACCCAGAAUGGCCCAUGGUCAAGGAUUGUCUGCGCGGGAGGAAGAAGGCCGAGCUCUUCGCCUAGGAAGGGCAGCACAAACUUCAAGGAUACUGAUUGUCCACCCAUCUCCACAUUGCCUGGACAAGAAGGUCGGCUCCAGAUGCCUUGUGCUCUCUACUCUCAGAAAUGGGGCUCCAAGUGUUCAGCUCAAUGGACCUCUUACUGGACCCCUGCUCUGCCUGUGCUAUGUUGUGCCAGCCCCAAGGAAAGAUGGUCAUUGGGCAUCAGUGGGUUUUUUGUUUCCAGCUUUGCCGGAGUGGAUCUGGAAGGCAUCCAUAUAUCAGUGCUCAGGGAACCAGAGAGUUCUGGACCCCCAAGGCUGGGCUGUGAAGCAUGUGUUUCCCAUCUAA
rnacentral:lncRNA from 1 species